rnacentral:rRNA from 1 species
UACGUAGGUGGCAAGCGUUAUCCGGAAUUACUGGGCGUAAAGCGCACGCAGGCGGUCUUUUAAGUUUGACGUGAAAGCUCCCGGCUUAACUGGGAGAGGUCGUUGAAUACUGGAAGACUUGAGGCAAUGAGAGGGGUGUAGAAUUCCCGGUGUAGUGGUGGAAUGCGUAGAUAUCAGGAGGAACACCGGUGGCGAAGGCGGUUCUCUGGGCAUGAUCUGACGCUGAGGAGCGAAAGUGUGGGGAGCGAACAGG